rnacentral:rRNA from 1 species
AGAACGAACGCUGGCGGCAUGCCUAACACAUGCAAGUCGAACGAGACCUUCGGGUCUAGUGGCGCACGGGUGCGUAACGCGUGGGAAUCUGCCCUUGGGUUCGGAAUAACAGCGAGAAAUUGCUGCUAAUACCGGAUGAUGACGUAAGUCCAAAGAUUUAUCGCCCAAGGAUGAGCCCGCGUAGGAUUAGCUUGUUGGUGAGGUAAGAGCUCACCAAGGCGACGAUCCUUAGCUGGUCUGAGAGGAUGAUCAGCCACACUGGGACUGAGACACGGCCCAGACUCCUACGGGAGGCAGCAGUGGGGAAUAUUGGACAAUGGGCGAAAGCCUGAUCCAGCAAUGCCGCGUGAGUGAUGAAGGCCUUAGGGUUGUAAAAGCUCUUUUACCCGGGAUGAUAAUGACAGUACCGGAGAAUAAGCCCCGGCUAAACUCCGUGCCAGCAAGCCGC